rnacentral:rRNA from 1 species
UCUCGGCAAAUUAUCCUCAUAAGUUAGACGAUAUGAAGAACCAAUUAUAUUAUUUAUGUUUCUAGUCUUAAAAGCCAUAAACAUAAAUUUAUUAUAAAGGGUGUCACAGAAUCGGAGGCCCCGACUGUUUACUUAAAACACAGACAUCUGCAACGAUUAAUUUCUUUGUAUAGGUGUUGAAUUUUGCCCGAUGCCAUUAAUAUAAGGUUAAUAAGCGCUUUGCGUUUUUAUUUUCUAAAAAUCUGGUCAAUGGCGGUCUUAUCCUGAGGAUCCUAAGGUAGCAAAAUUAAUUGUCCAUUAAAUGUGGUCCCGACUGAAUAAAGUAACGAUGGUCUCACUGUCUCUACAAGUAUCUCAGUGAAAUUGAAUUAGCCGUGAAGAUGCGGUUUGCCUCCAGGUAGACGGGAAGACCCUAUGCAGGCUUCUACUGA